AAAGUAAGAAGUAAAAUAAUUUACACUUAGUUUCGACCUAAAAAUAGAAAAAUCCUUACUU
rnacentral:tRNA from 1 species